AGAGAUGCUUUGGUGCCUUCGGGAAUCCUGACACAGGUGCUGCAUGGCUGUCGUCANCUCGUGUCGUGAAAUGUUGGGUUAAGUCCCGNAACGAGCGCAACCCUUGUCCUUUGUUGCCAGCGGUUAGGCCGGGAACUCAAAGGAGACUGCCAGUGAUAAANGGAGGAAGGUGGGGAUGACGUCAAGUCAUCAUGGCCCUUACGAGUAGGGCUACACACGUGCUACAANGGCGCAUACAAAGAGAAGCGACCUCGCGAGAGCAAGCGGACCUCAAAGUGCGUCGUAGUCCGGAUNGGAGUCUGCAACUCGACUCCRUGAAGUCGGAAUCGCUAGUAAUCGUGGAUCAGAAUGCCACGGUGAAUACG
rnacentral:rRNA from 2 species